GAGAGCUUUCAUUUGCAAUUUGGACCUCUGGAGGUGGACAUAAGAUACAGAAAUCAACACUCAGGCUUACUGAAAAGACAUGACAGACAUUUGGCAUUCAUAGCAAAAGCAUCCAGUGGGACUGAUGGAAGUCAGUGACAGCUGCCACCCUAAACAUGAGCUCACAUAUUGAUGCAUGAGCAAUUUUCGGGUUUGCGUAUGAAGGAGAGUCACUUGUAAUCAACCCUGCAGAUAUUAACUCAGUUGGCACUUCGCAGAUCGGCAGAUGAGUUGACUGACCAUGUAUCCGCAAACUGGAGUGGCAGUAAAACUGCAGGAGAGAUGGAAGAAGAACAUGCUUGUCCAGAGAGUAGGUAAGAACUGAAAUCUUCACAUAUCUAAUAUAGCCUACUAAAGCACACUGUUCAUUUGAGGUGCGUAUUCUGUUGGGUGUAACGUUACUGAAAAGAAAUUGUGUUCAAAUCACGCAGAAACAGAACUUGCAUUUCUGUGGAGAAAUAGCCAAAUCAAUAAACUAUAUUUAAGUGUAUAACUUUAAAUGUUUUUUUGUUUCCUUUUUAUUUUUAAUUGGUUUAACAUUUUGUUUAGCUGAGCAACAAACGUAAAGGUUAGUCGUAUAGUGAAGUCACUAUACUAUGUGCUUAUCUUCACCGACUAUCUGCACUAUUGCUGCCUUCACUUGCUCUCAGAAUUAUCGUAAAUCGUAGGCUUAUUUAAAUUUAUGAUUUAAUAUAUAUUCAAACUUGCAUUAAUAUAUAUACAAACUUGCAUUAAAAACUAUUAUUCACUUGCAAACCACAAUUUACAAAUACACAAACACAGUAUGCUUGCACAUUUCUGAAUGUUUUUACAUCCAGUGUUUCUGCGAAUUGAUUGUCAUUGAUUAUCUGCAUUUGCAAAUCCUCAUGUGUAAUGGCUCGGGUUGGUGUGCGUGUAUUUUGAGACUGUCCUGUCGAACUCUUUAAUCAAAUCACAUUUGAGCAUAACAGUCGACCAGUCAUAUUGAGCGCAUGAUUCGAGGAGCACGGGCGUGUCUCUGCAGUGGUAUCAUGCCAUCAGAUUGAAAACAGUUUAAAGGGAUAGACCGAUGUAAGAUGACUCGAGGAGCACAGGCGUGUCUCUGCAGUGGUAUUAUGUCAUCAGAUUGUGAACACGGUUCAAAGGGAUAGAUUGAUGUAAGGUAUGGCAAGCUGUUUUAGCAUUUAAAUAUGGCAAGCCGUUUUAGCAUUUAAACCUUUGUUCUGACUAUCUAUAAAUAUAUUUAAAGAUAGUAACAAUUGUAUUUUGACGAGUGAUAAUUAUAAUUCGACUAGUCAGAAUGACAAUUAGAGAUAUCUGCAAUUAUAAUUGCACUAGUAAGAAAUCCGAUUUGAGAUAUCUGUAAAAUGGAGUUUUGACUAGUCAAAAUAUAUAUAAGAUAUCUGUAAUGAUGUCAUAAAUAUCUUUAAAAGACUCGUUAUUUAUCCGCAAAGGUAAUUAGAGAUCUCUCUAAUUCGGUUUCGACUAAUCACAAUUAUAUUUUAAAAUAUCUGAAUUGUACUUGCUCCUAGUCGAAUCCGCUGUUGCGUGACGUGAAACUACAUUUCCUCAGCACCACCCAGAGUUCCUCCCCGACUCCCUAGCUAACCGCUAACAACUUUAGUCUGCUUUUGUUUUCAGAGAGAAAAGAUAUGAAGUACUUCAGGGAUUAUUAAACCAUGGCGGCAGAUGUUCUCGACAAAAUAGCAAGAAUGUGUCAACAAAUUGAAAGGAAAUUGUGGUGAGCGUGAACUUCGUGCGAUAGAUGAUUGCUUAAGAAAUGCACAGAGAAUUUCAUAUUUGCUACCUCCUGAGAUGUAUGAAGAAUUGAACAGAAAUCUGGAUGAAAUUCGAACAAUGCUGUCAACGCAUUUGCAGAGUGAGGGAACUACAGCUUUUUCCGUAUCUCAAAGUAGCGCAGGUGAGUUUCUGUUUUUUAAAACUAUGUUCUUUAUAUGCAGUAACCACAUACACAAGCGAGGCAUCUUGGAAAGCUCGUUUUUGUCUUGUUUAUGUGUUUGUUUAUUGUCUGCUCUCUACUUUGGUCAUGACGAUAGCCAUGGUAAUAAAACUGUAACUUUCCCCUCGGUCUGCAUUAAAAGUAGUCUAACCAGUGUACAUGCUAUGUAACUAUUCACUUACAAAAUUAAUACAGUUAUAAUACAAAUUCAAAUCUAUAUACCUAUUGUACAUAAUACAUAUAGUUAAAAGUAGGACUGUACAACAAACUGUAUGCCUACAUAAUUUUAUUAACAUUUUAGAAGAAAAUAAGGAUUAAAGAAACAAUUAUUUGAAUGGCUACUGAAAAACGCUACUGAUAAGGUUCCACACACAGGCCAGUCAGUCCAUAAAAAUGUAUUUGUAUGUGACAUUCAGAUUAUCACACAUCAGUGUACCUUAUUUACGUUUAAAAAUAACAGAAACAGACACUCCAACAGGUCAAAGUUUAAUUUUCAUUUUUCAACUUUGCCUGGUCAAGUUCCAUGACUCAUAAUAAAGAAAUUGUAUUUCUUCAACAUUUGUACUAAAGAAAACAAUAUUGAAAAAGUAAUUUAAAUCUGCCAUCACCCUAUUUUUAGACUAUUACCUUGUUCCAUUCCUUCCUUUCUUUCCAUUCUUAUUUGUCACCAUUUUUCUAAUAUUAUAUUGCUUGCCAUUAGGAGCUGCAUGUCAGUAAAACAAAUAUAUGUUACUUUCAAUUGCAGGUAGCCGAGGUAGACCAGCCAUUCAAAUAACACAUGACCAAAUUGAAUUUUUAAUGAAGCAAGGUCACACAGUCAAGCGAAUGGCAAGAAUGUUAGGGUGCUCAUCCUCAUUUCUGUACAAGAGGUCCAAGCUGCUUGGUGUAUCAAUCAGGAGCAGAAUGUCAGGAGUGGAUGAUGAAGAACUUGAAAAUGUAGUGAGACGACUCCAAUGCCAGUAUCCAAAUACUGGAAGUGAGAUGAUGCCAGCCUUACUGGUUGCAGAAGGAUUGAGGGUUUCCCGGCAUAGGGUUCGUGAGAUGUUGGUACGUAUCAAUCCAGCGGCUGCUGCAAGGAGAUGAAGCAGCACAGUGGCUAGAAGAGUUUAUCAUGUGCCCUGUCCCAACAGUCUCUGGCACAUUGAUGGUAACAUGUGCCUCAUAAGAUGGGGCUUUGUGAUUCAUGGUGCAAUCGAUGGACAUUCACGACUAAUCACAUACCGACAACUGUGCCAGUACUGUGCUGUCUCAGUUUAUUCAAGCAACAUGCCAACAUGCCUCUAGGGUAAGGUCAGAUCACGGUGGUGAGAACUUACAAGUGGCCUUGUUUAUGAACCUUGUACAAGGACUUCAGCGCCGGAGUCACAUUACUGGGGAAUCAGUCCACAACCAAAGGAUAGAACGUUUGUGGAGGGAUGUAUUUUUACAUGUGCUACAAUCAUUCUACAGUCUUGAAGAUUCUGAACUGCUUGAUCCCAGCAAUGACCUUCACAAAGUUUCACUCAGCCAUAGUUUUUCUUCCACAGAUCCAAGCUAGACUACAGCACUUCAAAGAGGCAUGGAAUCACCAUGCUUUGCAGACAGAAAACAAUGAAACACCAACACAGAUAUGGACAGAAGGAAUGCUGUCAAGGAUAGGAACUGACAGCACAGCCAUCAACAAUGUGUUUGAGUCUUUGCCCACAGCUGAAAAUGAAGAAAUCCCAGCUGUAACUGUUGAACAGCCUCAAAUUAACCUUACUUCUCAGCAAAUGGAAACAGUUUCCCAUGCUAGUGACCAUAUUACAGAUUUGAAGAUUAAGUUUCAGGUAUGUUGAGCAGAAAUUGCUAAUGUUUUGGCAAACUAGUGUUGCAGGUUAGAGUGUGUUAUAAAGAAUGUCAUUUUUUUUUGUAAUAUUUUAAUAUGUAAAAGUUUUAACUACAAGAAUGCUCUGUUGAAGAAUUAAUAGAUGCUUAGAUGCUGACAUUGAAAAAAUGAUUUUCUAUGAAAAGCUGGUGUACAAGUGAGAGAACCUGAACAAACAGUUAAAAAUGAGCAAUGUAACUGUUUUUUUUCCACAAUAAACACGAACA